rnacentral:misc_RNA from 1 species
ACAACAACAACAACAGUAGCAACAGCAACAGCAAUAGCAACAGCAACUAGGCUGCAGAAGAAGAAGCUACUAUCCAAUUACCUGUAAAUUGGCACACAAUUAACUGUAUCAAGCCCACCAUUGGGCCAUUUCAAACUGGCACAUCAAUUUUGGUUUUCCUAUCCGCCACCUGGCGCUGGCGGCGGCUCCUCAACUCAGCUACAAAUUCUAGCAAGAUCGUAUAUGUAAAACUUGCCACACACACACACACGCACACACAUAAACAUUCAUAUACACACACACACACACAGACACACUGAAACACAUGUUAGCAUAGCUGCAAGUGUAUUUGUAUAUUCAGUGUUUCCUCGACUCGAAAGCAAAACAAAACAGAACGCUAAACAAACAACAACAGCAAUAAA